GCAUCAGUGGUUUAGUGGUAAAAUCCAUCGUUGCCAUUCGGCAAUCUUCGACGGGCCCCGUGUUCGAUUCACGGCUGAUGCA
rnacentral:tRNA from 2 species